rnacentral:lncRNA from 1 species
UAGGUUUUGCGCCGCGUGUAUGGGUUAGGUGAGCGCAGCGGGGCUCACCUAACCGCAUUUAUUGCGGUUUGGACGAGCGCGUCACGCCGCAUGUAACGCAGUGCAGCGCGCUCGUUUAUCCGGUCUGUGACCAGUCACAGACCGAUUAGAUCGUGGGUUAGGUGGCGACAGGUGGUCUGAUGCACGCCUCGCCCCAUCCCGUCAGGAUGAGAGCCUCCAGGCACUUGUCCCUAGCCGGAGCCAGCGUGUUAGCUCCCAGAGAUGACACGUUGGCCCCGGCCAGAUAUAUGCCAGGCUUCAUCCUAACCAUUACAAGCAAGACAUUGUAUGAAGAAGGGCGAACAUGCAGAUUGAUAAACUGACGCGUGGUGGACAAGAAUGACCGAUUUGUGACCGGUCUGACACUGGUCAUGUCGUCAGCAGACAGCCAUGUUCCCACGUCGCGCCUGCUUCCGGCGGAAGUGGAGGUAGGUAUGGGCCGUCCCAUCAGAAGGUCAUUCGGACGGCAACCAUUACAAAUCUCCGUCCAUUUAUGAAGAGAAGUGAAGUUUGAGUAAAGAGAGGAUAAGUCCCCAGACAAAAGAGAGAGAUUGGGCAUGUGGUAUCCCCUUGAGGUAUAAAAGGAGGAUCUGGCCCACUUAGGAAGGGGAUUCGGAAGGAGAAAAGGGGGAGCGCACAUAAAGGGAGAAGAGGGUUUCUAGAGUAAGAGCUCGCUGGCUCUCCAGCUCUUUGUAGCUUCUUCAUACACAGAUCCACCAGAACACAGGAGUAGGGUAUUACGCUUCUCAGCGGCCCGAACCUGUAUACAUCGCCCGUGUCUUGUGCUUCUUCCAUUCUUGCGAACUUUCCACAGACUAGGAGCUUAGAACCUCACCCAAAGCCCCCGGCUGAACCGGCAAAGGGGGGCCUGCGCGGUCUCCCGGUGAGGAGCCCCACGCUCCGUCAUCUGGAGCGCCAGGUAGGGGGCUCUGCGUGUGUUUUUCUAAGCCCUCGCAUUCUUUCGUGUGCGCCAAGCUUUUCCUGUUCAGCCCAAUGGCCGAACAAGCAAAGGCGCACAACCUCUCUCCGAGCGUUAGCGGUGACGACGGGGAGCCGAACCCACGCCGUCGAGCUCGUACUCCAUCGCCCCCUCCACGCCAAAGUCCUAGGCGGGAGGAGGCACUCGAGAGGGUCGAAGGAUCCGCGACUUCGACAUCCACGGGUGAUGGAGAAGGGCGCCGAGAUGGGGAGCGUCGCCUCCUCGUCUACGGCGACGGCAGCACGCCCCAGGGCGCGCUCCAAGCUGCGGGCGCGCUCCUACGUCACCCACCCGUUGUCCCUGACCCGGAGUCUCCAGCCCAACGUUGGCUGGACGACGUGGCCAACUUGGUCAUGACGGCACGGCAGCACCUAGGUGCUGGUGGGCGGUCCUCCGCCACCAAGACCUCUGGCGCUGCUACCACCGGCUCCGUGUCGUCAAGGCGGAGGGCGCGGCGAGCGGCUGCUGUUGCUCGCCAUUCGGCUGCCACUCCCUCGUCAGCACCUCCGACCCGGGAAGAUCAGCGUGGGGGGCCAGAUGCCCGCAUCGGUAUCGAGCGCCGGCGUAAUGGUCGACGUGCUGCCCACGCAACGGAGGGCGCCUCCUCGUCCGGAGUGUCACCUCAACAUGGACGCGGGGAUCAGCCCUCCGUGCCCCCGGUUGGUGGUGUCGGCUGUAGAGCCUUUGUGGCGAGCCUUCGGAACGUCCGUUGGCCCCCAAGGUUCCGGCCCACCAUCGCCGAAAAAUAUGACGGGAGCGUCAACCCCACCAAGUUUCUCCAGGUCUACACGACUGGGAUCGAGGCCGCCGGGGGUGAUGACAGGGUCAUGGCGAAUUUCUUUCCCAUGGCCCUGAAGGGACAGGCUCGGGGUUGGCUAAUGAACUUGCCACCCGCGUCGGUCCACUCCUGGGAGGAUUUGUGCCAACAGUUCACCAUGAACUUUCAAGGCACAUAUCCGCGCCCAGGUGAAGAAGCGGACUUACACGCGGUACAGCGAAGGGAUAAUGAGUCACUUCGCUCGUACAUUCAGCGGUUCUGUCAAGUCCGCAACACCAUACCAUGCAUCCCUGCACACGCGGUGAUCUACGCGUUCAGGGGGGGUGUGCGGCACAACCGCAUGCUCGAAAAGAUUGCCUCCAAAGAGCCCCAGACUACCACGGAGCUUUUUCAGCUCGCGGACCGAGUGGCUCGUAAGGAGAAGGCAUGGACCUGGAACCCCUCCGGUUCCGGUGUGGCAGCUUCGGCCGCCCCCGGAUCCGCUGCCCGGACAGGGCGGCGUGACAGGAGGAGGAAGAAAAGGUCCGCCCAUUCCGACGACGAGGGUCAUGUCCUCGCCGUCGAAGGCGCUUCGCGGGCCACCCGAAAGGGGAGGCCUGCGAGCGACAAAAAGAAGGAGGCCGGCGCUCCCAGCAGGGAGCGCCCAACCGGCAAGUGGUGUAUCGUCCACAAUACCUCCCUCCAUGGUCUCGCGGACUGCCGCGCAGUCAAAAGUUUGGCUGAGCGGACGAGGAAGUGGGAGGAGGAGAGGAGGCAGGAGCGCCGAGAGGGCAAGUCCCCGGCGGUCCCUUCCGGCAAUCAGCGAAGUGAGGCCAAGCAGAAGGCCCCCGCCGAGGACAUCGAUGACGGCGAUGAUGACCUAGGUUGCCAAGAGCCUGGGGCCUCCAUUGCCACUGUCGAUGGGGGAGCGUGUGCUCACGUUUCUCGCCGGAGCCUCAAGGCCAUGAAGCGAGAGCUUCUGGCCGCGGCCCCUACUCAUGAGGCGACGCGCCGGGCGCGGUGGUCGGAGGUUGCCCUCACCUUCGACCAGACCGACCACCCACCGUGCGUUGCCCGGGGAGGACAGAUCGCAAUGGUGGUUUCCCCCACUGUUUGCAACGUAAAGCUGGGGCGCGUCCUCAUUGAUGGGGGAGCAGCCCUCAACAUCCUUUCCCCCGCAGCCUUUGACGCUAUCAAGGCCCCAGGGAUGGUGCUCCGGCCGUCCCAGCCGAUUAUCGGUGUGACGCCGGGGCACACUUGGCCGCUAGGUCAUAUCGACCUCCCGGUCACCUUCGGUGGAUCCGUGUCGCGACCGGGAAAAUUGCCUUUUCCCGAACGCUAGUGUAUUAAUCCCCGUCCCAGGAAAAGCCGGGGUACACCAUACAAACAUGAUAUAAAAGACACAUCUUUAUUACAUCGAUAAUAUUUACAUUAUUACAAAGGCACUUAAGGCCUGACAAUCAAAAAUAAACAGCAGCGGACUAGCGGGCCUACGGCUCCAUCUUCACAGGCGCUCAACUGGGGUAUAAGCCAGGACUCCACCUAAGACUUCUUCUCCAAAGCUUCUCUUACUGAAGGGGGGAGAAAGAUAGAGCAAGAAUGAGUACAACCACAGUACUCAGCAAGCCACACCGGAGAUGCAUAAUUAAUGCAAGGGAGUACAAGGGGAUAAUAAUAUAGGGGUUAAGUUUUGCAGUAAACAGCAUUUAAAAGUCACUUAGUUGCCCAAAGCCAUUUUGUAAAGACGAUCCUAGAGCUACACAGUAUUAUUAAUCACGGCCGUGAACCCUCACGAACCUGCCUUAACCCAAGGCCUACGAUGAUUUGGACCGAACUGGCAACCCGACCUGGGUCCCAGCUCGUCCCAAGCCAACCCAGGCCAACCAUUCCAAAUUUUAGUUGUUGAGCAAAUUUUAAGAAUUAAAACACUGACUUGGGUACAUUGCUCGGCUUGCCCAUAUCCGCGGGCUCGGCUAUUCGAAUAGAUUUACUCUGAUCAGAGGUGUACAUCUUUACCCACAAGACACAUCUUUACUCCGCAUUCCAUGGCCUUGGAACCCGUCGUAAAGAUGUGACAUAGUUUCCAACCCAUCCUAGCCUUAGACAAGAGUACCGACCCAAUCCCACCUACGGCCGGGAUACCCGGGACAGGCAGGCAGAACUGAGCCCCUAGCAGCAGGGCACCAACCCUCUGCCGUAUGACAUCUCGACUACCGGGCCGCAGCUCGUGUAGCCUUCAUUUGCCCUGGAGAAUGUCCAUCGACGCCCGACUUCAUCCAUCUCCAAUCCGUGUACUUUUGUUUAUGACUAGACUGAGCCACAAACUAAGCCUUACCCAUUAGACAUGUGGAAGUACGGUAGUGCUUUGCAACAGAGGCCCGAGCUUAAUCCUUAUAGUGGCCGGGGUGCUACUUCCCAUAACUGGCAUGCACCCAAACCCCACCGAAAACAGGUUUUAGGGGUUUUGAAAGAGGAAGAGAGGUGUAUGUCCAAUUCCACCAUAAUCCAAUCAAUUCCAAAGUGUCCAAAUGAUAUGAGAAUUCCCAAAGUCUAAAGUUAUAAAACCACCUAAUGUUGCCUAAUUAAUCAGCGAAGCAUCUACCUAAAUUCAUACUAGUGGAACCAUAAAUAGAGUACUCACUAGUUGGGGUUUUGUUUAACCUAGGGUGAACAAAGUAAUAAUAUCAAUAACAAUAAUAAUAAGGUCAUAACAAAGGUAAAUAGGUAUGGCUAGAUAAAACAGUGAUAACGCGGGAAUUUAAAUAAAGCGGUAAUGCAAUAAUUUAAAUCAACAUAAUUUUACAAACUGGGAUUCAAUAUGUUCAAGGAUGAUGUGACUUGCCUUGCUCGCUUUCCCAAACGCCGGCUUCAACUUCCACGAAGAGCGGAUCUUCCGAAGCUGCAGCGUCUACACGACCAACGGAAAAGAAAAGGGCUUUUACUCUAAUAAACUCCACAUAACAGCAGGAACAAAGCACAAAAAUGGGUUCUUGACUUCUUAAGGAAAAAUUAGAGACUUGAACGGUCCAAUUCCGAGUUCAAAUGGUCAAGAUAUGGCCAUUUGAAGUUUAUAUGCUCUUUAAAUGGAUAUUUGCGAAUUUCUUCAUUUAAUUUUUAAUUAAAAACCCAUUUAUUGCGUCAGCCGAGGGAGAGGGCGCGCGGACCGGGUCCACGGGAGUGGGGCCCACGCGUCAGCCCCUCGGUCCACGGUGGACCGGGAGCACGCGGCUGGCGGCGGUCGGCGCCGUGGGUCCCACGCGUCAGCCUCUCCCGCGGGCGCGGGCGGCUGACGGCCGGGCCCACUUGGCAGCCGCGAGGGCGCGCCCGAAGGCGGCCUCGCCGGCACGGCCGACGGGAGCGGCGCGCCCGCGCCCCGAUGGUCACCGCCGGCGACCAUCGGCGCGGCGGAGCGGCGCCCGAGCGAGAGGAGGGAAGGGGAAGGCGAACGGCGGACCACGGCUCACCCCGGGACAACGACGACGACGAGAACGGCGGCCGGAGCGGAGGAAGAUGGCGGCGCGGCUCGGGAUGCCGAGGGCGACGGUGCUCCGGCAGUCGACGGGCGAAGCGGAGCGGCGGACGGAGUCGGCAACCACUCGGCGAAGCCGAUGGAGGUGGCGCCGAGUCGGGAGGAGGUCCGGAGCGGCGGCGGCGGCGGAACGGAGUUCGGCGGCGACGGCGGAGAGAGAGGAGCACGGCGCGAGCACGAAUCCGACGGCGAGAGCGAGCGGUGAGCGGCGGAAACGGAAGAGCGGAGCACGGGCAACGUUUUUAUAGCGCCGAGAGGGGGAGAGCGCGGCCGGAGAGGAAGGAAACCGGCGCGGAGAUCUCGGCCGCCAUUGAAGACGCCGGCGACGAUUGCGGGAUGAAUCCGGACGAAUCCGAGGGAGAGAGAGAGGGGAAAACGGGGGAAACGGGAGAGGGAAUCGCGGGGAAUAAUUCGCCCCACUUUAAUGCGCGCGGGGACGGCGGGAGGCGGCGAGAUUCGCGGCGGCGGCGGCGCUAGGGCACGGGCGGGCGGCGGGCGCGGCGCGAGGUCGGGGAUGACAGGUGGGCCCCACCCGUCAGCGAGGGUGGCGGGCGGGCCCGCCUGUCAGCGGCGCGCGCGCGGGGGAGGAGCCGAUGGGCCGCGGGGGAAGAGAGAGAGAGAGGGACUGGGCCGAGCCGGCCCAAGAAAGGAAAAAGGGGGGGGGAAAAGACUUUUUAGGGAUUUUUCUUUUUAUAAAACCUUUUCAACUUUGUUUAUUUCUUCUCAAUUAUUAUUUGUGCUCUGAAAAUUCCACUAAAAUUUGAGGGCUCCUUUUAGACCAAGGAGAAUUUAACAAAAAUUCUCCGGGCCACAUUUGAAUUUUUCUUGUACGUAUUUUAGUGUUUGCCAAUUUCUUUUCGAAUUUUAAUUAAUUCUAUUAUUCCUUUUAGAAGAUGAUUUUUAUUUCGGGAUGAAUUUAUCAGGACGUGACAAAUCCACCCCCCUUACAAGAAUCUCGUCCCCGAGAUUCGAGGAGGCUAGCAAGAAGAUAGGUUAGGCGGUCUUCUCUUCUUGUCUGACUUCUUCCGUUGCGUCUUGACGAACUUCCAGCAAAACUUCACCACUCGGAACUGCUUGGCUUGACCUCCUGUUGCGGAUGGAAUCUUCUCUUCACCUGACUUGGACCAGGGUGCACCUUUUGGCUGACUCAGACUAGGUUGCGGUAGUUCAGUGAUGCUUCCGUUCCAGAACUUCUCAUGAUUCAAAUCUUCGGAGUCAACCUCAUACAAGUUACCACUUCAUGUCAUGCGUCGUAACCUGCUUGUCAUUACUAGGAUACCAUGCUUGUCAUCAUGAGAAUACCAUGCUUGGCGUUUCCUUCCAGCUUACCACCAUACGCUUUAGACUAUGAUAUCCCGCUUACUAAGGAUACCAUGAUUGGCAACUUGCCAUUAACUGUCUCAUAUUGGCUUUCCUGGUCUCCAGUGCUAGGUACUUCUGCUAUUCGAUGCCAGGGUCAACCACUCUAACUAUAAGUUAUGCUUCCCAAGAGAACCAAUUUAUCCCGCUUGACAUGCUUUGACGUCUUCCCGAAUGACUUUGCUGCUGGACUUGUUAUUGUCUGAUCGUGAUCCUGCCAGAUCUGAAGCUUCGUUGUUACAUGUGAUUUUAAACUGACCUCCGUAAACUAUCUUCGAACAUAUCACUUGGUUCAUAACUGGGAAUAGCUCCCACGAACAAGCAACUCAGAUUCACUUUCUUUAUGUUCAGUUUACUUUCCGCUAUUCUCUUCAUGUUGUCAUCAGUUAGCACUCAACGUAUUCCUUUACACCUUUAACCUUGAUGAGUUCUUUCCCGUUGGAUCAUCUCCCAGGACAUGGCGUUGCCUGGUAACCGGUGCUUGCAUUUUUCACUCCGUGUAGCAUCUGAUACCGAGUUGAAGAUUUCACUCUUUGCCUUCAUAGAAACACUUUUACCUAGGUCAUCUUGCUUACUUAAUGACAAGGUGACUGUUGCGGGGCAAUUACUAUCAGGGGUCUUCCUUGAGCGAUGCAGAGCAUGUUUCUGUUUAUCAAUCACCUUUCGGCCUACUUCUUUCAUGCUAGAGAACAUCUUUGCCAAUCUCUUUUUGUCAAUCAUCUUUCGGCUUAUCUCUAACAGGUGGUAUUCUUUAAUGUGGAUUGCGGACGCUUCUGGGGACGAUGAGGUCCUUUGGCUUGCUGCCUUUCGGUGAAACCUUGAUGUGGUUCGUCGAAAACUGUACUGACUACCUUCAGGGAAAUACAUUGCCUGCUAUCUGUAUCUAUACCACUAGGGUUUAAUUGCCGAUGGUCAUCUUUAGUGCUUCCUCGAGAUGGGGAGCAUCCAAAUUGUUCUUCUGCCACAUCACCUUUGACCUUUUUCUGAUACCAGAUAAACUAAUUACCAACCAUCGACUAUUAUGUUCUCAAAUAUUGAUGUCUCCUGGAUCUCCUUAACUGUUGGCAGGUAUAUCCGAUCUUAUCAAUGUAGAGGCAUGGCGGGUACCCUUAGGGGUUUCCUCCAACAAUCCUUAUCUUGAUCUGUAAAAGGCGUAUCCAAACUCCUAUCCUCAACUACUGUCUCGUUGGCUUUUUAACCCAACACAGUUUAAUUGUUUUUCUUUUCCAUCCACAGGUUGGUUAUUAACUCGAGGUUAGAAUAUAGUUCCUCUGACACGAGACCCUAGGUCUCCUUUGUCAGUAAACAAUUAUACACAUGAUCACAUAUCCGCACCUUUCAAACGAAUCCUCAUGGAACUUGUCUGUAUUACACAUUUCUCCCUCAUUACACGAAUACAAGGCACUGCCUUAAACAAAAAGGGAAGGUGCUUAUCAUCGGUACAUUGUAUCCUCAACAUGAAUCAUCUCUAAACAUAGCAAGCUCACUGUUUACAGACAUGAUUAUAUUUAUGAAUUACAUGAUUGCUGCAAACUUUCGAUUACACCAUGAUAAGUAGCGAACUAAAACCCACAAACAUGGCUGCUCAUUUUGAUUCUGGAGAGCUAUAGCUGGCAUUGUGCUAGUGACUGCAUCCUUGAUUGGUUCUGUGAUGAUGUGGUAGGACUGCAUAAUGCUAUCAUUCACAGGAGAAGCUUCCUUCUGAUUGCUGGUUGAAGCGGAUGACGGUCUUCUGCUUGGUAUCGCCCUCCGGAGGUUGAUUGCCCUUGGCUCGGCCUGGAGUAGGUCGGGGAGAGACACAACUUCUUCCAUCUACGACAAUUCUUUGCUGAGGCUGUCGAUGCAGAGAAUGGUUGCUAAGAUUUAUUGCCGAGUCAGGUGCAGCAGGAGGAGCAUUGGUGCAUUGUUUCUGCUAUGGGUUCUGAUUAACACGAGGCCUUACGGGUACGGCGUUUGCUCCAGUGACCACAAUACGAUUGGAAUGUCUGCUUCGUGUAAAUUGGCGGUAAUGUGGAGGUCGAUUUUGCCUUGGUUGGGGACAGUUUUUGGAGUAAUGCCCUUCUUCACUGCAGUUGUAACAAACAAUAACUUUCUUACACUCGGGUUCUUCAUCUUGUACUUGAUUUCUCAGCUGCUGUAUUGGAACUUCCAAAGGUACAACGCAGAUACUGGCCUCUGUCUUGUCAGCUGGUGGCUGGGGCUGAAAUUGAGCAUUGACACCUUGUGGUAGUGCACUCAUUGGAGUUGGAGCUGUUGCAACGCGGGCUAUAGGACUGCUUCGGGAUGCAUGGAUGACAAUUCGUUGAGGAGCAAGCUUCUGAUUGCGGGGGGUUGCGUGGACUGACGUGCUGGCAGCUACGUUUCUCGGUUUUGGGCACUUGUCGGCGAAAUGACCCAUUCCUUGACAAUUGAAGCAACAGAUAUCUUCCCGGACUCGGCAUUUUCUUUUCUCAUUUUGUUUCCUCUGUCCUGGCACUGGAGUUAGGCUGAAGCUGGACUCUUGGCGAGGAUUUGUGUUUCCUUGAUGCUUCUCUCCGUGGGAAUUGGCGGGUUGGUUUGCCACCUUCUUCGUCAGCAGAAAACUGAAUCGACAAUCUUUUGGUACAUGAUCAGUUCCUUCACAAAAGAAACAAGUGAUCCUGCUCGUUGGACACCUAUCGGGUGGAUGGUCUUCCUCACAAUGAACGCAUGUAGAGGCACACGAGCUGGCAACAUGACCGAUUUCUCCACAACGAGAGCAUGCCUUAAGUUCUAUUUUAUUCUGGUUAAAACCUUGGGGAGACUUUUCAUCUUCAUCAUCUGAGGAGACUUGAUCUGAAUCUUCACUAUCAGACACUCUACCUCCAUUAGCUAAAAGAUGCUUUGUCAACUGUUGUGCACCUCGGAAGGAAUUUCUUCUCUGACAUUUUGUCAUUCCUGGUGGAGGCCAUUCUGUACUGGUAAUGAUCAUCUUACGGACUUCAUCUUCGGUUCGCAUUGGUGCUUUUCUUUUCUGCUGAGGACAGUUCCUUGCAUAGUGCCCUUGCUCAUCACACAUAAAACAGAUGAUACUUGCUUCUUUUGGGUCAACAUGUGGCAUGGCAUGAGGGGCCUUCUGGGAUGUUGGCGGUGCGCUGACUUGUGGUGUGAGUGCUUGGACUGCCUCCAACUGCACUUGAGGUUGCAUCUGACUUGGGUUCAAAAUUGGCAUCCGAUGCUGCUGUAAUAUCUCUAUAAGCAAUUUGUUCUGGUUAAUCAGGUGUUGGACCACUGCCGCACAACUGGUGUCUGGUGCUUCAUUCACUCGGGAGCUUGAGGUACCAAUGUCCUGACUUCUGACCUUAUUGCCUUUCUCAUUGUCAGCCAUCUGUUGCAAAGGUUUGGAGAGGGAGAGAGGGAAAACAAAGGGGAGAGACAGAUUAGAAACUAAGGAUAGGACCUUAACAGAUCUAAGUCUUUUUGCUGUUAUGAUGUAUGUUAGGCUUAUUCUGCAAGUUGAUUAAGCAAACAACCUAGCAUGGUUACAUCACACCCCACUGAUGCAAACCACGCGCUACACACACAAACAAGGAAACACACGACUAACGACUCUACCCUAGAGGGUGGCUUAGGUUCUGCGACGGGUUCUCCAAGAUCUUCACUCCUGCUUCACAGCUGGCUUCACUGCUUCCUCCACUUCACUAGCAGAUCCUGCAGUCUUCUGGAGCUUCGGCAAACAACUGACGAUGUCUUCUUCUUCGCAAAGCUGACCAUCUAGUACUAGUUGAAAUUUGAAGAAGGAAAAAAAAAAGGUAAACCUUUUGCAAAUAGCAUUAGGGGAAGAAGAAAAGAGGAACUUUCGCAAAUAGUUUUAUUUAUAAAAUAUGCCCUUAGGUUUUAUCCACUUGGCUUACCCUACAGUCGAGAUGGCUCUGAUACCAGCUUGUCGCGACCGGGAAAAUUGCCUUUUCCCGAACGCUAGUGUAUUAAUCCCCGUCCCAGGAAAAGCCGGGGUACACCAUACAAACAUGAUAUAAAAGACACAUCUUUAUUACAUCGAUAAUAUUUACAUUAUUACAAAGGCACUUAAGGCCUGACAAUCAAAAAUAAACAGCAGCGGACUAGCGGGCCUACGGCUCCAUCUUCACAGGCGCUCAACUGGGGUAUAAGCCAGGACUCCACCUAAGACUUCUUCUCCAAAGCUUCUCUUACUGAAGGGGGGAGAAAGAUAGAGCAAGAAUGAGUACAACCACAGUACUCAGCAAGCCACACCGGAGAUGCAUAAUUAAUGCAAGGGAGUACAAGGGGAUAAUAAUAUAGGGGUUAAGUUUUGCAGUAAACAGCAUUUAAAAGUCACUUAGUUGCCCAAAGCCAUUUUGUAAAGACGAUCCUAGAGCUACACAGUAUUAUUAAUCACGGCCGUGAACCCUCACGAACCUGCCUUAACCCAAGGCCUACGAUGAUUUGGACCGAACUGGCAACCCGACCUGGGUCCCAGCUCGUCCCAAGCCAACCCAGGCCAACCAUUCCAAAUUUUAGUUGUUGAGCAAAUUUUAAGAAUUAAAACACUGACUUGGGUACAUUGCUCGGCUUGCCCAUAUCCGCGGGCUCGGCUAUUCGAAUAGAUUUACUCUGAUCAGAGGUGUACAUCUUUACCCACAAGACACAUCUUUACUCCGCAUUCCAUGGCCUUGGAACCCGUCGUAAAGAUGUGACAUAGUUUCCAACCCAUCCUAGCCUUAGACAAGAGUACCGACCCAAUCCCACCUACGGCCGGGAUACCCGGGACAGGCAGGCAGAACUGAGCCCCUAGCAGCAGGGCACCAACCCUCUGCCGUAUGACAUCUCGACUACCGGGCCGCAGCUCGUGUAGCCUUCAUUUGCCCUGGAGAAUGUCCAUCGACGCCCGACUUCAUCCAUCUCCAAUCCGUGUACUUUUGUUUAUGACUAGACUGAGCCACAAACUAAGCCUUACCCAUUAGACAUGUGGAAGUACGGUAGUGCUUUGCAACAGAGGCCCGAGCUUAAUCCUUAUAGUGGCCGGGGUGCUACUUCCCAUAACUGGCAUGCACCCAAACCCCACCGAAAACAGGUUUUAGGGGUUUUGAAAGAGGAAGAGAGGUGUAUGUCCAAUUCCACCAUAAUCCAAUCAAUUCCAAAGUGUCCAAAUGAUAUGAGAAUUCCCAAAGUCUAAAGUUAUAAAACCACCUAAUGUUGCCUAAUUAAUCAGCGAAGCAUCUACCUAAAUUCAUACUAGUGGAACCAUAAAUAGAGUACUCACUAGUUGGGGUUUUGUUUAACCUAGGGUGAACAAAGUAAUAAUAUCAAUAACAAUAAUAAUAAGGUCAUAACAAAGGUAAAUAGGUAUGGCUAGAUAAAACAGUGAUAACGCGGGAAUUUAAAUAAAGCGGUAAUGCAAUAAUUUAAAUCAACAUAAUUUUACAAACUGGGAUUCAAUAUGUUCAAGGAUGAUGUGACUUGCCUUGCUCGCUUUCCCAAACGCCGGCUUCAACUUCCACGAAGAGCGGAUCUUCCGAAGCUGCAGCGUCUACACGACCAACGGAAAAGAAAAGGGCUUUUACUCUAAUAAACUCCACAUAACAGCAGGAACAAAGCACAAAAAUGGGUUCUUGACUUCUUAAGGAAAAAUUAGAGACUUGAACGGUCCAAUUCCGAGUUCAAAUGGUCAAGAUAUGGCCAUUUGAAGUUUAUAUGCUCUUUAAAUGGAUAUUUGCGAAUUUCUUCAUUUAAUUUUUAAUUAAAAACCCAUUUAUUGCGUCAGCCGAGGGAGAGGGCGCGCGGACCGGGUCCACGGGAGUGGGGCCCACGCGUCAGCCCCUCGGUCCACGGUGGACCGGGAGCACGCGGCUGGCGGCGGUCGGCGCCGUGGGUCCCACGCGUCAGCCUCUCCCGCGGGCGCGGGCGGCUGACGGCCGGGCCCACUUGGCAGCCGCGAGGGCGCGCCCGAAGGCGGCCUCGCCGGCACGGCCGACGGGAGCGGCGCGCCCGCGCCCCGAUGGUCACCGCCGGCGACCAUCGGCGCGGCGGAGCGGCGCCCGAGCGAGAGGAGGGAAGGGGGAAGGCGAACGGCGGACCACGGCUCACCCCGGGACAACGACGACGACGAGAACGGCGGCCGGAGCGGAGGGAGAUGGCGGCGCGGCUCGGGAUGCCGAGGGCGACGGUGCUCCGGCAGUCGACGGGCGAAGCGGAGCGGCGGACGGAGUCGGCAACCACUCGGCGAAGCCGAUGGAGGUGGCGCCGAGUCGGGAGGAGGUCCGGAGCGGCGGCGGCGGCGGAACGGAGUUCGGCGGCGACGGCGGAGAGAGAGGAGCACGGCGCGAGCACGAAUCCGACGGCGAGAGCGAGCGGUGAGCGGCGGAAACGGAAGAGCGGAGCACGGGCAACGUUUUUAUAGCGCCGAGAGGGGGAGAGCGCGGCCGGAGAGGAAGGAAACCGGCGCGGAGAUCUCGGCCGCCAUUGAAGACGCCGGCGACGAUUGCGGGAUGAAUCCGGACGAAUCCGAGGGAGAGAGAGAGGGGAAAACGGGGGAAACGGGAGAGGGAAUCGCGGGGAAUAAUUCGCCCCACUUUAAUGCGCGCGGGGACGGCGGGAGGCGGCGAGAUUCGCGGCGGCGGCGGCGCUAGGGCACGGGCGGGCGGCGGGCGCGGCGCGAGGUCGGGGAUGACAGGUGGGCCCCACCCGUCAGCGAGGGUGGCGGGCGGGCCCGCUGUCAGCGGCGCGCGCGCGGGGGAGGAGCCGAUGGGCCGCGGGGGAAGAGAGAGAGAGAGGGACUGGGCCGAGCCGGCCCAAGAAAGGAAAAAGGGGGGGGAAAAAGACUUUUUAGGGAUUUUUCUUUUUAUAAAACCUUUUCAACUUUGUUUAUUUCUUCUCAAUUAUUAUUUGUGCUCUGAAAAUUCCACUAAAAUUUGAGGGCUCCUUUUAGACCAAGGAGAAUUUAACAAAAAUUCUCCGGGCCACAUUUGAAUUUUUCUUGUACGUAUUUUAGUGUUUGCCAAUUUCUUUUCGAAUUUUAAUUAAUUCUAUUAUUCCUUUUAGAAGAUGAUUUUUAUUUCGGGAUGAAUUUAUCAGGACGUGACAAUCCGCCAACUUCCGCACGGAGCGGGUGAACUUUGAUGUGGCGGACCUCAGUCUGCCCUACAACGCGGUCCUAGGGAGGCCCGCGUUGGUGAAGUUCAUGGUGGCGGUCCACUACGCCUACCUCCAGAUGAAGAUGCUGGGCCCCGGUGGCCCCAUCUCUGUCCAUGGCGACCUCAAAGUCGCGCUUGCUUGUAUGGAGCAGCGCGCGGACCACCUCGCCGCCGUGUCCAAGCCCGAGGGUGGCGACGAGAGGCUUGGCACCUCCGUCCCCGCCGCCCCGAGGCAGCGGAUGAUCACAUGCGAUGAGGUCCCGGUCAAGGAGGUUGCCCUGGGCGACGGCCCGUCCAAGGCCACACGGAUCGGUGGUCUUCUGGACGGCAAAUAGGAAGACGCGCUCGUCUCCUUCCUGCGGGCAAACGCUGACGUCUUCGCAUGGAGACCGGCGGAUAUGCCCGGGGUCCCCAGGGAGGUGAUUGAGCACCGUCUCGCCGUGCGGCCGGGCGCAAGGCCGGUCCGGCAGAAAGUGCGGCGGCAGGCCCCGGAACGUCAAGCCUUCAUCCGCGAGGAGGUGGCGCGACUUCUGGAGGCCGGAUUCAUCCGCGAGGUCAUCCAUCCGGAGUGGCUGGCGAACCCGGUGGUCGUUCCCAAGGCGAACGGCAAGCUUCGGAUGUGCAUCGACUACACCGACCUUAACAAGGCAUGUCCUAAGGACCCUUACCCUUUGCCUCGCAUAGAUCAGAUUGUCGACUCCACCGCGGGGUGCGACCUUUUGUGUUUUCUAGAUGCAUACUCUGGUUACCAUCAGAUUCGCAUGGCUAGGGAGGAUGAGGAAAAAACUGCAUUCAUUACCCCCAUAGGAACUUAUUGUUAUACGACAAUGCCCUUCGGGUUAAAGAAUGCAGGUCCUACUUUUCAACGUACUACUCGAAUUUCUUUGGGUAGCCAAAUAGGACGUAAUGUUGAGGCUUAUGUCGAUGACUUGGUCGUGAAGACGCGCAACCAAGAGACCUUACUCUCGGAUCUAGCGGAAACUUUUGAAAGUCUCCGCUCCACCCGCAUAAAACUGAACCCCGAUAAGUGCGUGUUCGGUGUACCUGCGGGCAAGCUUCUCGGGUUCUUGGUCUCUGCCCGAGGCAUCGAGGCCAACCCCGAGAAGAUACGAGCUAUAGAGCGGAUGCGCCCCCCCAGCAAACUUAGGGAUGUGCAAUGCGUCACCGGUUGCAUGGCCGCCCUAAGUCGGUUCAUAUCGAGGCUGGGAGAGAAGGCGCUACCCUUAUUUAAGCUCCUCAAACGCUCCGGGCCGUUUACUUGGACGGAGGAAGCUGAACGUGCCCUCACUCAGUUGAAGGCGUAUCUCAGCUCUCCGCCAGUUCUGGUCGCCCCGGAGCCAAAUGAACCCUUGCUACUCUACUUAGCGGCGACCCCGCAAGUGGUUAGUGCGGCGUUGGUUGUAGAGCGCGAUGAGGACAAUCCUCAUUCCGUGCAUCCUCACCUUGUGUUGGCUUGGCCCGGGAGAGAGCAGGGAGGAGAGGCCCCCGAGCCGAACGGUGGCCCAAGGCCCCCGACGACCGGAGCUGGCCCUCUGCCCGCUUGUCAGACGGUGCCAGGUGCCCCCGACCCCCAGGAUGGCCCGGGGGCCACUGCGGGAAGGCCGCACCUAUCGCCCUCUGACCCCGAGGCUAACCCUGUGCCGACUCGACCUGGGAGAGAGCAGGGAGAAGAGGCCCCCGAGCCGAACGGUGGCCUAAGGCCCCUGACGACCGGAGUUGGCCCUUUGCCCGCUUGUCCGACGACGCCAGGAGCCCCCGACCCCCAGGACGGCCCCGAGGCCACUGUGGGAAGGCCGCCCCUGUCGUCCUCCGACCCCGAGGUCGUCGGCACAGAAGACGAGUGCGCCCCGCGAGGCCGCUUGGACGAAGAGUGCCCCAGGGAUGCGGCCCCUAGCAAAGAGGAUCGGCCCCACCGAAAGGUGCAGCGGCCCGUCUACUUUGUUAGUGAGGCCCUCCGGGACGCCAAGACCCGAUACCCUCAGGCCCAGAAGAUGCUUUACGCUAUUCUGAUGGCUUCGAGGAAACUGCGCCAUUAUUUCCAGGCGCAUCGGGUCACGGUGGUUACGUCUUACCCCCUCGGCCAAAUCUUGCAUAAUCGAGAGGGUACAGGACGGGUGGUGAAAUGGGCAAUUGAACUUUCUGAGUUCGAUUUGCACUUUGAACCACGCCACGCUAUCAAGAGCCAGGCCCUCGCCGAUUUUGUGGCAGAGUGGACCCCGGCUCCCGAGCCCGUCUCAGUCCCCGAGGCCAGCUCGGGCCCCUCGCAGCUGCCUCACACCGCCCACUGGGUGAUGCAGUUCGACGGCUCCCUGUCUCUUCAGGGCGCCGGUGUGGGGGUCACGCUGACCUCGCCGAGCGGAGACGUCCUCAGAUACCUGGUUCGCCUUGACUUUCGGGCGACCAAUAAUAUGGCAGAGUACGAGGGACUCCUUGCGGGACUCAGGGUGGCAGCUGGACUGGGGAUCCGCCGCCUCCUGGUGUUAGGCGACUCCCAGCUGGUCGUUAACCAGGUCUGUAAGGAGUACCGGUGCUCUGACCCACAGAUGGACGCUUACGUACGCCAAGUUCGGCGUAUGGAGCGCCAUUUUGACGGGAUAGAACUUCGGCACGUGCCCAGACGGGAUAACACGAUUGCCGACGAACUCUCACGGCUCGCUUCCUCGCGAGCCCAGACCCCACCGGGCGCCUUUGAAGAAAGGCUUGCCCAGCCGUCGGCGCGACCCGACCCCUUAGGGGAGACGGACGCGCCUGACCGGCCCCCGAGGCCCGUCGGAGUCCAGGCCUCGGGACCCGAGGGGAGCGCUCCCAGCUCCCUUAGAUUGAUUGCUUGGAUCGCUGAGAUCCAAGCAUACCUCACAGAUAAGACUCUACCCGAGGACCGCGAAGGGAGUGAACGCGUCCAGCGCAUCUCCAAACGCUACGUGCUGGUAGAAGGGACCCUCUAUCGGCGCGCGGCUAACGGAAUCCUCCUGAAGUGCAUUCCUCGGGAACAAGGCGUCGAGCUUCUUGCCGAUAUCCAUGAAGGCGAAUGCGGAGCCCACUCCGUCUCGCGCACCUUGGUUGGCAAAGCCUUUCGUCAAGGUUUCUAUUGGCCGACAGCUCUCAAUGAUGCGGUCGACCUGGUCCGGCGAUGCAGAGCGUGUCAAUUCCACGCCAAGCAAAUCCAUCAGCCGGCCCAGGCCCUGCAGAUCAUACCACUUUCAUGGCCAUUUGCUGUCUGGGGGCUCGAUAUCCUGGGACCGUUUAGGCGGGCCCCGGGCGGGUUUGAGUAUCUGUAUGUCGCGAUCGACAAGUUCACUAAGUGGCCUGAGGCUUAUCCGGUCGUCAAGAUCGAUAAGCACUCCGCACUUAAAUUCAUUAAGGGCAUCACAGCCCGGUUUGGAGUGCCUAACCGUAUUAUUACGGAUAACGGCACCCAAUUCACUAGUGAACUUUUCGGUGACUACUGCGAAGACAUGGGCAUCAAGCUCUGCUUCGCCUCACCCGCCCACCCCAGAAGCAAUGGCCAAGUGGAGCGCGCCAAUGCGGAAAUCCUCAGAGGCCUUAAAACCAAGACCUUCAACAUCCUCAAGAAGCACGGCGAUUCAUGGAUCGAGGAGUUGCCAGUGGUGCUCUGGGCAAACCGAACCACACCAAGCCGAGCAACCGGGGAAACGCCUUUCUUCCUCGUCUACGGCGCGGAAGCGGUUCUCCCAUCCGAGCUCACCCUGAGGUCACCUCGGGCCACCAUGUACUGCGAGGCUGAUCAAGAUCAGCUUCGCAGAGAUGACCUGGACUACUUGGAGGAGCGAAGGCAGCGCGCGGCCCUCCGAGCCGCGCGCUACCAGCAGAGCUUGCGGCGCUACCAUCAGUGCCACGUCCGGGCCCGAUCACUCUGCGUCGACGACCUCGUCCUACGCCGCGUCCAAACGCGUGCUGGAUUGAGCAAGCUCUCACCGAUGUGGGAGGGUCCGUAUCGAGUGAUCGGCGUCCCCUGGCCGGGCUCCGUUCGGCUGGCCACGGGCGACGGCACAGAGCUGCCUAACCCGUGGAACAUCGAACACCUUCGUCGCUUCUACCCCUAAGGGGGAUCGGGUGUCAGGUUUCGGGCUCGGGCCAACCCCGCAGCCCCCUCGGGCGUGCAGGGUUGGCCGGGGGCUACCACAUAUGCAUAUUUUUAUUUCUCUUAUAUCUGUAUUUCAAUAAAAGCAUUUUCAAUUUCCUAAAGGCUGUAUCUGUGCUGUUAUUUCCUUUUGAAGAAUCUUGACUUGAAAUAGGUCACUCGUGCUCAAUCCUGCCCUCGGGGGCUCGGGUCGGCUAAAAUCGCCAAAAGGGGCCCAGAACCGAGCCGUGCCCCGGGGCGUGGUGAACUCCGGGGGGGAAUCGGCAAAAACCCACAAUCGGGUCACCCAUAACCCUCGGUCACCACGCUCCCGGCCUGGCCAGUCUCGACAUGUGGAUCUCCCCAGGCACUAGCCCCGACCCGAGCCAUUUGAGGACUGGGACCUGGGCACGAGCCCUUGUUCAAGCCAAGACGCAAAAGGACCGCGGCACAGACCAUCCUCGUCUCAUACACACAACAAAUAGAAUUGACACAAAAAUUUUCUCUUUAUUUGAUUGCAGAUUAAAUUAGUCUAUACAAGAAGGGGGCCCGAAGGCCUCGGAAGAAGAAAGAAGAAACUAUUUUAAGAUUGGCGGGGGCCUGGGGGCUCACUCCGAUGCACCCGGGUCGCCAGCCUCGUCGCCACUGUCGCCCAGAUCACCGUCACCGCCCUCCUCAUCGGAGUCGAGGGCGAACGCGAGCCGAGGGGCCGAACCCUCGAAGCUGUGGACGAUGUGGUCGGCGGCGUCCCGGACCUGCGCGCGCGCGUCGUCCUCGGUCCCGAGAGGGAACUCGUCUAGCGCCGUCCAUGGGGAGAAGUCCGGGUCCCUGGCCUGGUAGCUUGCCAGUACAAGCUCCACUGCCCCCCGGGCGAGGUCUCUCGAGGAUGACUUGAUCGUCCUCUCGAGCUCCUCGGGGAGCCGUUGGAGAGUCCCGGCCAUCUCCGAGAGGCGCUGGGCGAGGCCCCCCUGGUUGGCGGCGUACUUCGCAGUCCGCCCGCCCCAGAGGCCCACCUGCCGGCCGGCGCGGUCUAGACAGGAGACGGCGUCCCGAAGCAUGCCGGGCCCUACCUCGCCUGCCAAGCGGAGGGCCUCGACCUCCCCGGCGGACGAGUCUAGCGCGCCCUGCAGAUCGGCGAUGGUGUGUUCGGCAGCUGCGAGGCGGGCGGCUAAGUCGCUUUCGCCCGCGGCCGCCCCGCUGCUGCGCGCCCUCGCACCCAGCUCCCUUGCCUGCGCCUCGAGUUCAGCGGCCCGCUGGUCCAGUGCGGCCCUCUCGGCGCGGGCACCUUCCAGAUUGCGGCGCGCCUGCUCCUCCCGCGCUGCCUCGCGGAGGGACAUGCUGUCCGCCAGCCGUUGCGCCGCGGCCUCGGCCUCCUCGAGAGCUCGCUCCCGCUCGGUGAGCGCGUCCUCGCGGAGGCGGAGCGCGGACUCCUCUUCGGCGCAGGCGGCCUCGUGCGCCGCCAGCGUUGCCUCCCGGAUGGCAACGGCGGCCUCACGGUCCGCCAGGUCCCUCUCCACGGCGCAGGCACGCUCUUCCAGCGCCAUGGCACGGGCCUCAAGGGCUUCUUCGCGCCGCCGGGAUGCCACCUCGGUCUCCGCCGCCCGCCGUUCUCGGGCAGCGGCAGCGUCAAGGACCCCCCGGGCGGCGUCGAGCUUCUUCCCUAGCUCCGCCUCCCAGCUCCCGUAUUGAAGGCGGAGGGUGUCCUGCGCCUCGUUCAUCACGGUAGUGGCGAUGAGGGCAGCCCCCCGCUCCUCCUCCACCUCCUUGGCGAUCUCCCUCAGCACCUUCCGACGGGCUUCGAGCUCUGAGGCGUGCCGGCGGUGUGCCUUGCGGCCCACCUCCACCAUGGCCUCAACCGAGCGUCGCCCCUCCUCGACACGCGCCCAUGCGGCGUCGAGCUCCGCCCGCUCUGCUUGCAGGGCCUCCAUCUGAGCACUUAACCCGUCCAACACCGUGGUGUUUGCGACGGCCAAGGCCUGCAGAAGGGGCUCUGCGCUCAGUGGGGCAACGGAAGGCGCGGGGAAGAGCCGCCUCGGAGAGGAUGCCGCACGGCUCGGCCCGCCGAUGGACGUGCCGGACUCGGGGACGUCCCCCGGACCCGGCUUGUCCUGAGCGUCGCCCGAGGGAGUGGGCCCAAGCGAUGCGCCCGCGGCCUCGUCGCGAGCUGCCUCGGAAGUCGUCGUCGCCUCGGCCUGGCGAAGUGUGGCCUCCUCCCGAGCGGCUUCUUCAGCUUGGCAAGCUCGGACGGCCACCUGCGCAGCUUCCUCGGCUUCCCGAAGGCGGUCCGCGGCUUCUUGCCGGUCAGUCUCAUGGGUUGCCUCGGAGGAUGUCGUCGCCUCGGCCCUGGCGGAGUCUGGCCUCCUCCCGAGCGGCUUCCUCGGCCUGGCGAGCCCGGGCGGCCUCCCGGGCGGCCUCCUCGGCUUCCCGUAGGCGAUCCGCGGCUUCUCGCCGAUCAGAUUCCCGCCUCCGGGCCUCUACGGUCGCCGGGUCCUCGGCCUCAGACUGCCCGGACUUGGAAUGGCAGGAGGGACGCGACGGGAUAUCGCUGAAACAGAAGAAAGACCAGAAGACAAACAAGAUGGGUGAGUGAAAACUCGCGUUGAGAGAAUGAAUACAGUCACGAUGGGCGUGGGACGAACCUGCGAGGGGGUCGGUUAAACGACCACCUUGGAGGGGAAAUGAGGUUUCCCCGGGAUAGUUCUAUCCCCCCCAUCUUGCGGAGCUGUUUCUUCUUCCGCUCCCCCUCGGGCUGCGGCGUCGGCGUGGCCCCCUCCGGGCGCCUGCUGCUGACACGCGCCGCCCCGCCCCCUCGGGGAGGAGGUGGGGAAGGGGUUCCUUCCUGUUUCCUCUUCCCCCGGGCGUCGAUAGGGCGGCUGCUCCCCGGGCCCCCGUCGCGGGGCCCAGAAGCACGACCCCCUCCCGGGGUAGAUUGUUCCCCCUUGCGGCUCCCGCCCGCGCCAUCGUGGCCUCGAGGAGCCCGCUCCUCCGACGCCCCGACCGCCUGCAAGAUGGUCAGGAUGGAGGCGCGGUCUGGAUCACUACAGAGAGGGAGGACUCCUUGGGGAAUGAGGGAUGCCUCCACGGAGCUGAGAUUCAGCACCCGUUGGACCACUAUCUUGAAGUCCUUAGGAGCCCAGUCCCAUCUGACCCCCUGGUGGGUCCUCAUGUAGUCUUCGGACCCGGUGUACUCCCAGGCGCCCCGGGCACGCCGCUGGAGCGGCGCAAUCCGGCGACGAAGGUAGUCGCCGUACACCAUGGCCCCUGUGAGCCCCUGGGAUCGCAGGCCCGCCAGGCGGUCAAGGACGGCGUCAUAGCCAUCUCCCAGAUCUACCGGCGCCCGCCAGCUGGAGGCCUGCGCCGGGGGCUGGCUCGGAAGUCGGAGGCGCGCUUCGUCGGCGAGGGGGGUGUAGAACCAGUCGCUCUUCCAGUCAUCCCACUUCUUGCGGAGGACGCAGGGAAUGUAGCGGUUCAGCACCGGCCCCCGCGGCUGGAAGUAGCAGCCACCAACCACCGACGGCGGCGACACCGGCUGUACGGUAAAGAACCACCGGAACAGCCGAAGGGAUGGGCGCACCCCGAUGAACAUCUCGCACAGGUGCGCGAAGAUGGCCAAUGACAUUACCGCGUUGGGGGUGAGGUGUGCCAUCUGGAGAUCGUAAAACUCCAGAACAUCCAUGAAGAAAGAAGAAAAUGGCGGAACCAGCCCUGCCAUUGCAAAAGGGAGGAAGAAGACGGACCGCCCCGGGUAGCGUGGCGCCGGGCGUCCCUCGCCCAGCGUGACUAUCUCCCGGCCGGUGGCAGAUUCCGGCAUGAAGCGGCGCGGCAGCCCGGCCUGCCUCUCGCUCACGAUGCGGGAAGGCGGCAGCACGCUACCGUCGAGCAGAGCGGAGCCCCGUGCCAUGACGCCGGAAGAAGAGAUGUUUGAGAGCGAGCGCGUGUGGCGAAGGAAGGGCACAGGAAACAAGGAGUUAGGGCGCAAGCGGCGAAGACAAGGGGAAUAAUGGCGAGAGGAAGGAAGCAAAUCUCUUCCUCGGUGUCUUUAUACCCUUGCCAACGCUGUGCCUGGCUCCUCGUUUCUCGCGCCCACGCUUCCACUAAUCCCAUUCGCCCGCUUGCGGCGCAUGAGGUGGAUAUGAGGCUGUGGCAGUCGAGAUGGAACGUAUCGUGCGCGCGUUAAUUACGCUCGCCGACCAAAGCGCCAUCACCAUAUCUCCAGGCAAAAUGAACCGGCUCGUCCCGAUUCGCGUGCUACUCGAGUAAUGUGGCAGUCUUGAAGAGACCGCUCAUUAUUGACAGCCGAGUAACCAUUGCCGAUGUGCGUGAUUUGCGACCGUUGGGUUUCUGCCCAACAGUGGAGACCGGUCUCACCUGUCACCAGGCCUUAGGAAGUGGCGUCACGCCCGACCGCUUCCCUUGAGGAGGGUGAUCGCCCUGGCAUAACGCCGGGGGCUACUGUCGGUGACAUGGGACCGGGAGUAUCAUGACUAGAGGUUUGGGCAGGAGCAAUCACCCACGAGGCCUGACCCCCUCGGGGGGGUCGGGCCCGAGGGUGAUGUGGCCGCCCCCCUCUUUGUCUCCCCGAGGGGUCGGACCGCUCCCGUUUCGGCCCCGAGGGCUGAGGCGCCCCGACCCCUUGUAGGUUUUGCGCCGCGUGUAUGGGUUAGGUGAGCGCAGCGGGGCUCACCUAACCGCAUUUAUUGCGGUUUGGACGAGCGCGUCACGCCGCAUGUAACACAGUGCAGCGCGCUCGUUUAUCCAGUCUGUGACCAGUCACAGACCGAUUAGAUCGUGGGUUAGGUGGCGACAGGCGGUCUGACGCACGCCUCGCCCCAUCCCGUCAGGAUGAGAGCCUCCA